rnacentral:misc_RNA from 1 species
GUGAAUCAUCAAAUUUUUGAACGCAAAUUGCACUCUCUGGCAUUCCGGAGAGUAUGCCUGUUUGAGGCCAGGAUAAUUAAAAAUGGAGCGAUGCUUUUUGGGUGACGCAACGGGGGUUUGGUCAUCUUUACUUUUUUUUUUAAGAAACCUAAAAUUAACAUUCUUUUUUUGUUCCUUUUUGAAAGUACAUUAUUUUUUUUAUUUGUCUUACCUUGUU